UACGGAAGGGGCAAGCGUUGUUCGGAAUCAUUGGGCGUAAAGGGCGCGUAGGUGGUUCUGUAUGUCUACUGUGAAAGCGUACGGCUCAACCGUAUUUUGUCGGUGGAAACUGCAGGACUUUGAGGCUGGGAGGGGCUGGUGGAAUUCCCUGUGUAGCGGUGAAAUGCGUAGAGAUGGGGGAGAACACUCGUGGCGAAGGCGGCUUUCUGGUCUGCUCUUGACGCUGAGGCGCGAAAGCUAGGGUAGCAAACGGG
rnacentral:rRNA from 1 species